CCACCACCAUGGGCCAGAAUAUUACGAUGCCUGCAUGGAACCCAAGUCUGAGCCAAAGGUAAUUUGUGAGUUUCACACACCACAGUCAAUAUCCCCAAAAUCUCAGCCAGUGCAUUCUGGCGACCUUCAUUACGGAUCUGUGUGUUUGGACAAUCCAAUAUCUUGGAACUUUUCAGAUUUACUGUCUGCAGGAGAACUGAAAUUAUGUGACUGAGGAAUCUUGAAAUGUUGAAGUUAGCAACAAUACUUUCCAAGGCGAACAAUUUCAUGGGCAACAAUAUU